UACGUAGGGUGCGAGCGUUGUCCGGAAUUAUUGGGCGUAAAGAGCUCGUAGGCGGUUUAGCAAGUCAGGUGUGAAACCUCCAGGCUCAACCUGGAGACGCCACUUGAUACUUCUAUGACUUGAGUUCGGUAGGGGACCAUGGAAUUCCUGGUGUAGCGGUGAAAUGCGCAGAUAUCAGGAGGAACACCGAUGGCGAAGGCAGUGGUCUGGGCCGAUACUGACGCUGAGGAGCGAAAGCGUGGGGAGCGAACAGG
rnacentral:rRNA from 1 species